ensembl:lncRNA DHRS4-AS1 DHRS4 antisense RNA 1
GGGCCAAACGCCGGGCGAUGGCGAAGCCGAUCCUGUGAGCAGAAAGAGACAAAGACUGCUAAGGCCUGUGCAGGGGAAGAGGUCGACAGCAUGGGCUCUGAAGUUAAGACUGCCCGGGUUUGAAUUCUGGCUCUUUCUCUAUAUAACUCCUACGUGUGCCUACUAUGUGUAAAACAGGCUUAAUGGCAUGGCCAUUUUUAGCACUGCUUUACUUAUUUUUAUUAUGACCUGGAUCACAGCCUUAGUUCCCAAGAACUGACAUCACUUUCUACAGUUCCCACCACGGGUGACAGGCUUCAUCUCCUGUUGGGACUGAGAGGUGAGAAAUGAGCUGGGUGUGCAGCAGCAGCCACUUCCGUGAUUUGAAGGUCUCACUCAGAACAGUCCUGCCGCCAGGUUUCUUUCUUACUAGUCUACAUCAUUCUCAAAAUUCUUUCCAUAAUUAUUUUUUGGGGUGCAUGUGAAAAGAUGGUCUCUGGUCAAAAACGUAAAUAUUGCCUUGGGAAGAAGAGUUACACAUUCUGCAGUUGUCAGCCAUUAGCAUUUUAUCUACAUUUGUAUUUUAGUUUUGUGAAGAGCUGGCAUCUAGCAAAGUCCUGUAGAAAUGAGAACCAGGACUGACAAGAGAGGUGGGUGAGAAACAGGCUGGGCAAGGUAGGCCCAGAUGUACCGACCUAAAAAAAAGUCUCGACACAUGGCUCUGGUGUCCCAUCUAGGUAAGGGGGAGGGGUUCCGGGACACUUUCUGGAGCCCAAAUAGAAUGGUACAUUUUCAAAAAGCUGGAGGCCUUGUUAUAAGAUUUUGAAUCCAGAUUCCCUUGCAUUUCCAGUUUCUGGUCUUCCCAGAGGCUAGGUAAGGCUGGUUGACUGGGGCAGCCCAGAACACUGGGGGGACUAGAUCGAUGGGGCUGCACAGAGGUGGCACAGUUGUGCCAGAGGCAGCAGGGACAGAAGGGCUGGCAAGGGAGGGCCAGGGUAUUCGGAGGGGCUUCAGGCGGACCACGUGGCUACUUUUUUUCCAUGGCCAGACUUUGGCGGUAUGUGAGGUCUGAGGACAGGGGCACUGGAGGCAAAGGACGAGACACCAGUGCAUGUUUCCAGGCAGCCAGGGCCUCAGAAACUCCGGCACCAACACUCACCCGUCGGUGGAGGCCGUUACCAGGGCCACCUUAUUUGUGAGCGGGUCCCGGCGGGUCAUCCUGGAGCUGGCCAUCCGCACCGACUUCCGUGCCCAGGCACAGAGGCCUAGCAGCCUGGCCAUCUGCAUGGAUCAGACCAGCAAGUCUGGGUUCCACUCCUUCCAGCGGAGGUGACAGAGUAGGGCGAAGGGGCAGGACGAAGGGCGGGCCGCUUCCCUGCCUGCCCCCUUCCCGCCCUCGGCCAGCUGGGAGUCGUCUGUGGCGGUUGGCGCCUCCCGCCGCCCGCCAGUCGCCCCGCCCCGCAGCCAGCUACCUUCCGCCUGACUGGGGCUUGCCUUCCCGGGCUGGUGCCACUUCGGAUAAACCCUUUGGACUCCUAACUCCAAUCAGGUGUCUGCUUUGUUGAGGACUCACAGACACAGUCUCCUUUCUUCAAGAUCUUUACAAUGCAAGACCUCACUAACACACAGGGAUGGUCUCCCAGAGGGUCUGUGCUGUUCCUUCACUCAGAACAUCAAGAUGCACUGAAGUAAGGAUCCUCUAUUCUACAGUUCCUGCUAGCUGAGCUAUUCCAUGGGGGCUUCAGCAGGAAAUUCCAAGGUUGGCUUUGACAAGCUAAGGCCGGCUGGUGGAGCACAUCGAGUUCUGGAGGUUCAUGUGUGUUUUCAUGAAGAUCUGUCUGCCCGUAGCAGAUAAAGAGUUGUUGCCCCACUCCUCCUGGGGUCUUCUAUUUUCCUGGGAGGAAUUUCUGGAUUAACUGAACACACACACACACACACACACCCUUUUGAAGCAUCAACAGUAAUUCUGAGUUCUUAGGGACAAUGCAGAUUAAAUCCACAAUAAGAAAGACAACUAUGGCCAGGUGUGGUGGCUCACGCCUGUAAUCCCAGAACUUUGGGAGGCUGAGGCGGAUGGAUCACCUGAGGUCAGGAGUUAGAGACCAACCUGACCAACAUGGAGAAACCCCGUUUCUACUAAAAAUGCAAAAUUAGCCGGGCAUGGUGGCAGGCGCCUGUAAUCCCAAAUACUCGGGAGGCUGAGGCAGGAGAAUCACUUAAACCCGGGAGGCAGAGGUUGCAGUGAGCCAAGAUCGCGCCAUUGCACUCCAGCCUGGGCAAGAAGAGCAAAACUCCAUCUCAAAAAAAAAAAAAGAGUACUAUUGAUCCAGAGGUGACCAGACUAGCCUCACUGGAGAUAAUAGGUGACAUUAUUAUGCAAAGUGGUUUCAGUUCCCUUGUCUUGUUUUUGGAAUAGUAUAAGAGGCCUACAAUACGAAUAAAUAAGGCCCAUCACAAGCCUCACCAAAGGACAAAACUAAUCCACUUCUGAAGAAGGCUCUUUGUUGGGCCAGAUCAAAUCCUUGGACAGAACUGUACUCUUAAUCUCUGUAGUGAAAGUGGGGGGUAGUUUAAGAAUUUAUUAACCUUCUACCUUGAGCAAUCCCUCAGAAGUAAGAGGUGUCAGGCCUCUGAGCCGAAGCUCAGCCAUUGUAACCCCUGUGACCUGCACAUAUAUGUCCAGAUGGCCUGCAGGAGCCAAGAAGUCUGGGGCAGCUGAAAAACCACACAAGAAGUAAAACAGCCAGUUCCUGCCUUAACUGAUUAACCAACAUUACAACAUUCCACCAUUGUGACCUGUCCCUGUCCUACCUUAACUGAUCAAUCGACCUUGUGACAGUCUUCUUCUGGACAAUGGGUCUUAUCAUCUCCCCACCAUGUACCUUGUGACCCCCUCCUCUGCUAACAAUAGAUAACCACUUUUUACUGUAAUUUUCCAUUACCUACCCAACUCCUAUAAAGCAACCCCUUCCCCAUCUCCCUUCACUGACUCUGUUUUCAGACUCAGCCCACUUGCACUCAAGUGAAUAAACAGCCUUGUUGCUCACACAAAGCCUGUUGGUGGUCUCUUCACACAGAUGUGCUUGACAAAAGGGAAGGGUGGAUUUGUCCUUCUGGUUACAUAUGUUCUGCUCACUCAUUUUGAAUUUAAUUAAACAAGGAUUGCCCUUACCUUUUCAUACUUUGUAAGAAACCAUAAAUACUUAUGCACCAUGAUUUUUUUAAAGAAACACUUUUUAUUUUGAAGUAAUUAUAGUCUCAUAGGAAGUUGCAAAAGUAGUACAUAGAGUCCCUGAGUACUCUUCCCCCAGUGGUGACAACUGUAGUAUAAUAUCAAUUCUGGGAAAUUGACAUUGGUACAAUACCAAAUAUACUAUGCCUUUUUCUCUAAGGCAUGAUGUUGCAGUAGCAUCCUUGUACAUGUAGCUAGGAGAACUUGUACUAAGCCCAGAUAAAUAGUUGAAGUACAAGGGCAAGGAGUGUGUCUUUGAUAUUUUAAUAGAAAUCACCUAUUGCCCUCUAGAAAAGCUGUACCCUUUUCCAGUGGCAGAGAACCUUCCUGAAAGGCAGUCCUGUGUAAUGGUGUCCAUUUCAUCACACCCUUAAAACACUCAGCUUUAACAAACAUGCAGAUUUUUGCUGAUGUGGGAGAAAAUAUUAAUUAUUAAUGAUAUUAAGGUGAUUAUCUUUUCGUAUGUUUAUAGAUAUUUGUAUUUCUUUUUAAAUGAACUGCUCAUGACCUUUGUCUACUUUUAUUUGGGUUUACUUCUUUCUCAUUUAUUCCUAUAAACUCUUUAUAAAAGGAAAUUAACCAUUUGAUUGUCAUAUGUUGUGAAUAUUUUUACCAUUUUGACUUUUGAAUUUAUGUCUUUUUAAUGAAUUGUAGAAGUUUAAAAUCUUUAUGGAAU